rnacentral:rRNA from 1 species
UGAAGCGUGGACGCCAGUCUGCGUGGAGCCAUCCUUGAAAUACCACCCUGGCAACUUUGAGGUUCUAACUCAGGUCCGUUAUCCGGAUCGAGGACAGUGUAUGGUGGGUAGUUUGACUGGGGCGGUCUCCUCCUAAAGAGUAACGGAGGAGUACGAAGGUGCGCUCAGACCGGUCGGAAAUCGGUCGUAGAGUAUAAAGGCAAAAGCGCGCUUGACUGCGAGACAGACACGUCGAGCAGGUACGAAAGUAGGUCUUAGUGAUCCGGUGGUUCUGUAUGGAAGGGCCAUCGCUCAACGGAUAAAAGGUACUCCGGGGAUAACAGGCUGAUACCGCCCAAGAGUUCAUAUCGACGGCGGUGUUUGGCACCUCGAUGUCGGCUCAUCACAUCCUGGGGCUGAAGCCGGUCCCAAGGGUAUGGCUGUUCGCCAUUUAAAGUGGUACGCGAGCUGGGUUUAGAACGUCGUGAGACAGUUCGGUCCCUAUCUGCCGUGGACGUUUGAGAUUUGAGAGGGGCUGCUCCUAGUACGAGAGGACCGGAGUGGACGAACCUCUGGUGUUCCGGUUGUCACGCCAGUGGCAUUGCCGGGUAGCUAUGUUCGGAAUAGAUAACCGCUGAAAGCAUCUAAGCGGGAAACUAGCCUCAAGAUGAGAUCUCACUGGAACCUUGAGUUCCCUGAAGGGCCGUCGAAGACUACGACGUUGAUAGGUUGGGUGUGUAAGCGCUGUGAGGCGUUGAGCUAACCAAUACUAAUUGCCCGUGAGGCUUGACCAUAUAACACCCAAGCAAUU